GACGAACGCUGGCGGCGUGCUUAACACAUGCAAGUCGAACGGAAAGGCCCUGCUUUUGUGGGGUGCUCGGGUGGCGAACGGGUGAGUAACACGUGAGUAACCUGCCCUUGACUUUGGGAUAACUUCAGGAAACUGGGGCUAAUACCGGAUAGGAGCUCCUGCUGCAUGGUGGGGGUUGGAAAGUUUCGGCGGUUGGGGAUGGACUCGCGGCUUAUCAGCUUGUUGGUGGGGUAGUGGCUUACCAAGGCUUUGACGGGUAGCCGGCCUGAGAGGGUGACCGGCCACAUUGGGACUGAGGGAAGGCACAGGCUCCUACGGGAGGCAGCAGGGGGGAAUAUUGCACAAUGAGCGGAAGCCUGAUGCAGCAGCGCCGCGUGCGGGAUGACGGCCUUCUGGUUGAAAACCGCUUUCGCCUGUGACGAAGCGUGAGUGACGGUAAUGGGUAAAGAAGCACCGGCUAACUACGUG
rnacentral:rRNA from 1 species